rnacentral:rRNA from 1 species
UACGUAGGGGGCAAGCGUUGUCCGGAAUCAUUGGGCGUAAAGCGCGUGUAGGCGGUUCGGUAAGUCGGCUGUGAAAGUCCAGGGCUCAACCCUGGGAUGCCGGUCGAUACUGCCGGACUAGAGUUCGGAGGAGGCGAGUGGAAUUCCCGGUGUAGCGGUGAAAUGCGCAGAUAUCGGGAGGAACACCAAUGGCGAAGGCAGCUCGCUGGGACGUUACUGACGCUGAGACGCGAAAGCGUGGGGAGCAAACAGG